GUGUCAGCCGCCGCGGUAAUACAGAGGGUGCAAGCGUUGUUCGGAAUUACUGGGCGUAAAGCGCGUGUAGGCUGCGGAGUAAGUCGGAUGUGAAAUCCCUUGGCUUAACCAAGGAAGUGCAUCCGAUACUGUUUCGCUUGAGUGUCGGAGGGGAUGGCGGAAUUCCCGGUGUAGAGGUGAAAUUCGUAGAUAUCGGGAGGAACACCUGUGGCGAAGGCGGCCAUCUGGACGACAACUGACGCUGAGACGCGAAAGCGUGGGUAGCAAACAGGAUUAGAUACCCGGGUAGUCC
rnacentral:rRNA from 1 species